GGGGAAUCUUGCACAAUGGAGGAAACUCUGAUGCAGCGACGCCGCGUGAGCGAAGAAGCCUUUCGGGGUGUAAAGCUCUUACGCCAGGGACGAUAAUGACGGUACCUGGAGAAGCAGCUGCGGCUAACUACGUGCCAGCAGCCGCGGUAAUACGUAGGCAGCAAGCGUUGUUCGGAAUUACUGGGCGUAAAGGGUGCGUAGGCGGUUAUCUAAGUUUGGUGUGAAAUCUCCCGGCUUAACUGGGAGGGUGCGCUGAAGACUGGAUGACUUGAGUAUGGGAGAGGAAAGCGGAAUUCCUGGUGUAGCGGUGAAAUGCGUAGAGAUCAGGAGGAACACCUGCGGUGUAGACGGCUUUCUGGACCAAGACUGACGCUGAGGCACGAAAGCGUGGGUAGCAAAC
rnacentral:rRNA from 1 species